rnacentral:rRNA from 1 species
GACGAACGCUGGCGGCGUGCUUAACACAUGCAAGUCGAACGGUGAAGCGCCUUCCUUUUUGGUGGGUGUGGAUGAGUGGCGAACGGGUGAGUAACACGUGAGUAACCUGCCCCCUUCUUCUGGAUAACCGCAUGAAAGUGUGGCUAAUACGGGAUAUUCUGGGUCUGUCGCAUGAUGGGUCUGGGAAAGAUAUUGUUUCGGUUGGGGAUGGGCUCGCGGCCUAUCAGCUUGUUGGUGGGGUGAUGGCCUACCAAGGCGGUGGCGGGUAGCCGGCCGGAGAGGGUGGACGGGCACACAGGGACUGAGACACGGCCCAGACUCCUACGGGAGGCAGCAGUGGGGAAUAUUGCACAAUGGGCGCAAGCCUGAUGCAGCGACGCCGCGGGAGGGAUGGAGGCCUUCGGGUUGUGAACCUCUUUCGCCAGUGAAGCAGGCCUGCCUCGUUUGUGGGUGGGUUGACGGUAGCUGGAUAAGAAGCGCCGGCUAACUACGUG